UGGCAUCAAGUGAAAGCCUUCCCGUGGCGAUGCUGAUUUCGACUAAUUUCAC
rnacentral:ribozyme from 1 species